GCCGGGCACGGUGGCUCAUGCCUGUAAUCCCAGCACUUUGGGAGGCCGAGGCAGGUGGAUCACCUGAGGUCAGGAGUUCAAGACCAGCCUGACCAACAUGGAGAAACCCUGUCUCUA
rnacentral:SRP_RNA from 1 species